rnacentral:precursor_RNA from 16 species
CCCUGCGGCCGUACAACGUCUCUCCCCCGCCCGGACGAGAACCCUUCGCCAGUCGUCGGGCUUUAGCAGAUCGGUGGGGUUUUCGUUCGAGUGGGGGAGACGACACAUACCACUAAACAUUG